AACGAACGCUGGCGGCAUGCCUAACACAUGCAAGUCGAACGAGACCUUCGGGUCUAGUGGCGCACGGGAGCGUAACGCGUGGGAACCUGCCCUUAGGUUCGGAAUAACUCCCCGAAAGGGGUGCUAAUACCGGAUAAUGUCUUCGGACCAAAGAUUUAUCGCCUUUGGAUGGGCCCGCGUUGGAUUAGCUAGUUGGUAGGGUAAAAGCCUACCAAGGCGACGAUCCACAGCUGGUCUGAGAGGAUGAUCAGCCACACUGGGACUGAGACACGGCCCAGACUCCUACGGGAGGCAGCAGUGGGGAAUAUUGGACAAUGGGCGAAAGCCUGAUCCAGCAAUGCCGCGUGAGUGAUGAAGGCCUUAGGGUUGUAAAGCUCUUUUACCCGGGAUGAUAAUGACAGUACCGGGAGAAUAAGCUCCGGCUAACUCCGUG
rnacentral:rRNA from 1 species